rnacentral:rRNA from 1 species
UACGUAGGGACCGAGCGUUGUCCGGAAUCAUUGGGCGUAAAGAGCGUGUAGGCGGCUAUUUAAGUCCUGCGUGAAAUCCUGCGGCUCAACCGCAGACGGUCGUGGGAAACUGGAUGGCUAGAGUGCGGGAGAGGAGAGUGGAAUUCCCGGUGUAGCGGUGAAAUGCGCAGAUAUCGGGAAGAACACCCGUGGCGAAGGCGGCUCUCUGGGUCGUACCUGACGCUGAGGCGCGAAAGCGUGGGGAGCGAACGGGG